GUUUGUUUUAAAUAAGAGGCGUUCAAUCGCUGGAAUGUGUUGUUUUUUGCGAGUGCUCGUUGCCGCUGUUAUCAGUUCUCUCUUGGCGCUCGUGCACACUGUGCAGUCUUCACUGACAGACGAGCGCUUCAGUCGCGCUUAACGCCAUUGCGGAGACUGUCUAUUCGUCUGGUGAAAUCACAAAACAAAAUGCACACAAACUUGUCCCUGCUCUUGAUAUAGAAUCGCUUAUGAACACCUUUGGUUUUAAUGAUUAAAAAAAAAAAUGAUACGAGGGCGGAUUAGAACCCCGAAUCUCUGAUACACAUAACAAAAAUUCUACCACUAGACCAAAAAAGCACAGAAGUGUUGAGUGCGAACCUAUAUAUUUAUUCACUGAUGUGAAGAGUCUUGGGACUAAUGAUAUUGUAUUAAGCUAUAGUAGAUGAGUUUAAUUUAUCGUCACGGAAGUCACGUUUAACGUGAUAGUUUCAUCUUUACAUCUAGCUACUAUAGUAAGGAUGAAACUAUCAUGUUAAAUAUGACUUCUGUGUCGAUAAAUUAAACUUGUACUAUUGGAAUUGAUUUCUGGACAUUGUAAUGUUAUUUUUUCUGCAAUUGUUAUCGUACAUAUUAUUCUAUUAUGGUCAUCUUUCAUUGUGUUAUGCUGGUGUGUGAAUAGUUGUGGAUAAAAUCUGAAUAAAGACAUUAUUCAUUUCCUUUCCCUUUGCUCAUGAGUCAGUCUAACCUUACAAAAAUGGUGUUUGUUGCAAUAAAUAACCCAUCUGACUGUACUAAUGUACACACCUGCUAUUUGCACGACUACUUACCAAAUUAUUAGGGCAAUGUGAAACAGUUUAAAUUACUUCAUUAUGUAAUUGAUUAAAGUUUAUAGACCUGUGAACUGUUUUUAUUUAUUUGCAAUAAAUGUGAAGUCUUAGUCAGGAGAAACAUUUUGAGCAAUCAGCUUUGUGUGGUUAGUUAUUCCGGCCACACAAACAUGCUUCCUGCUUUACUGUUCCUAUAGAGAAACAUGACUGCAGCACUAUAGAAAACAAGCUAAUGUUAUAAGUAUUACAUACUGCAAGUUUUAGCCACAAGACUUCUUAAAAAAAAUAAAAAAAAUAAAUAUAAAAAAUAAAAAUAUGUUGAGAUAGGGCUACAUUCUUACAUGGAUGUUUAUCUAACAACAACAAGAGUUUAUCUAACCUUAUUCAGUCUAUCUUUGUUUAGUGAAAUUUAUUUGAGGACACAUAUUUAAUUUUUUGUUAUGUAUUGGUCAAAUAUUUGGUCUACCCAUUUUGCAACAAUUGUGUAUGUUAAUUUUGAAUAAUGUUACUUCAUAAACUGACAGUCAGCCAAUAAGUUCCAGCUGCAUAAACUUUGUUAAGACUGUAUCUUAAGAACUAGUCUGAUAAACUAGCAGUUUGCCAAGGAUUAGGCUCAGUAUUAUUUUUAGGUUGUAAAUUUGGUUGACAAAGGUAAAGACAUGUUAGAUGUCUAUUGAGCAAAGCCUUAAUAAAAGCUGCAGAGCUUUUUGAGGUAAAAAGCAGAGCAAAACUCAGUUUCAAGAGUAAUAUACAGCAGUACAAGCCAUAGCAGAAACAUAACAGAGAAAAGAAGAAUAUAAUUUUUUAGUAAAAAAUAAAAAAAUCUUAGUAUUUUUAGUUUUUUUUUUUUUUUUUUUUUUUUUACUUAGUAUUCUAAGUAAAUAAAGCAGAACAUGAACAAAUGUGAGCUGUUUAAUAAGACAAGUGAACACGGUAGACAGUGACAGGAUGUGACAGUUCUGCUGUGGAAAAUGUGCUCUGUGGUUUCACUGGUCACUGCAGACAAGAGCACAAAACUAAUCAGAUUAUAUUAUAUACCUUACAUUACCAUCCAUUAUAUAAGUAAUGUAUAUUGAUUACUGAUUAUUUUUUAUGUCCAAAAAUCUGCUACUAUACAAAAUGUUAAGUAUAUUCUCAUCAGCUGUCUUACAGGCAUUUCCGUCUGUCUUCAGUUCUUCCUUUACUAGUUCAGUCUCUACAGCACUUACAAGCCUUCAAGAUACUGAGCGGACAGUAAGACAGUUUAUACUCCUUCAAAACUGAGUGUCCUGUUAUGGCAAAUUUUCAAAUCGGGAUUCUUCAUCUGGAUCUCUGUGUCGUCAUUAUUCUCCUAACUUACACAGAUUAUUCCAAAUCAAAUCAAGAGCAAAGGAUUCGGCAGCACAUCAACAAAACAGUGUUUGUGGGGGAAACAGUUACACUUCACUGCAACAAAACCCAAUUUGAUUACGAUUUCACAUGGAAAAUGAACAACUCUGUUAUUUUUAGGCAGGUCUCUGAUAUUAACAUAACUAACAUAAACUUCAGCUCAAACAGGAUUCACAUCAACCCAGCAGUUCCAAGAGAAUUAAAAAUACAUCAGAUACAAGCGUCUGAUGCAGGAAACUACACCUGUUAUCCAGCAGAAAUAAGAUGGACAUUAACAAUAACAGAAAACAGACCAGCGUCGCCCAAACAAAUACCGCUCUACAUCAUCAUCAUCAUCUCAUGUUCUGGAGUCAUUAUGGUCUUUCUGAUAAUCACCAUCAGCUUCUGCAUUCACAGGAAAAUGAGGCAGAAGAUCAGCUCUGGUUCAGAUAAGGAGGAUAUGAUGAUUUCUCACUGUGACAAACACACAAUAACAGCCUGUGUCUACAGUCUUCAUACAGUUUCAUGAACAUGAUCUUUCCUCCUCAAGACACCACCCAGAUAGCAUGGUGACAUUGAUACAGUGUUGAGUUUUGAUCCAAACCAUCAUUUUGGUUGAGACUGACAUUUUAAUGUUUAAUGUAUGUUGGAUCAGCAUUGAAAUUUUGAUGAAAGUUGAUGGCACACAUGGGUGAAGAUAGUGAUGUUGAACUAACAGUGAUUUGUAGUUGAUGACCACAAGAUCCUGCAGGCAUGUAUCUGUGCAGAACACUAGUGGGUGUUUUUCAGUCAGUGGGGCAUGUCAGUUCAUUUUCAAUUGCUUUACCUGAUUUGCUCUAAUCCACUGGGGGCUUGGUUUUGGGGUGGGCCCUCAUGAUUUUAACAAGUCUAAAGAAAAAUGGUUGAAAAACACCAAUUGUAGUUUGAAAAUGCGCACUGAUUGGUAAUCGCCCAUUUUGGUUCUGCAUGUGCUCUUCUCAGUAUAGUCUAAUCAAUUCCUCCUCAUUAGAGAGAAAACACAGGUGCAUCCUAUACAGAAGUCUUGUUUGUGGAACCACCUGACUUCUCUGGGUUUCAAACAAUGUUGCAUCUUUCUUAUUUCUGUUUUUUUUUUUUUUUUUUUUUUUUUUUUUUUUUUUUUUUGUGCUUGUUAUUUGCAUUUGAUUUGCUGAAUCUUAAAAAAAAAAGAAGAAAAAAAAAAGUUAUUAGUGUUUGAAUAAAGCAUCAGUUUUUGUAAAUUCUUAAAGUGCAUGCAUCUUGCUUUAAUCAUAAAAUUCUUAAUAUAUAUUACUAAAGCUUUUUUGACAUUUCUUGAAGUGCAAGUAACAUAAACAUUCUUGCUCAUGACAUGAACAUGAGCAAGAAUAUCAUACUUUACACAUAGCCCACAUAUUGCAUCAAUUACUCAAUGCUUGCAGAGCACCUUGCCUUCUUUCUUUUAAGUGGGAUGAAGGCAGAUAAGGAUGGACAGUUUAAUAAUAAUAAUAAAAAAAAAAAAGGCCCCCUCUUGAU